AACGCUGGCGGCGUGCCUAACACAUGCAAGUCGAACGCGAAAGGGGCUUCGGUCCUUAGUAGAGUGGCGAACGGGUGAGUAACGCGUGGGUGAUCUACCUUCGAGUGGGGGAUAACGUUCCGAAAGGGGCGCUAAUACCGCAUGACGUUCUGGGUUUAAAGACCUGGAAACCAAAGCCGGGGACCGCAAGGCCUGGCGCUUGAAGAGGAGCCCGCGUCCGAUUAGCUAGUUGGCGGGGUAACGGCCCACCAAGGCGACGAUCGGUAGCCGGCCUGAGAGGGCGGACGGCCACACUGGGACUGAGACACGGUCCAGACUCCUACGGGAGGCAGCAGUGGGGAAUUGUUCACAAUGGGCGCAAGCCUGAUGACGCAACGCCGCGUGGGGGAUGAAGGUCUUCGGAUUGUAAACCCCUGUCGAAUGGGACGAAUAGCCCGCGAGUUAAUACUGCGCGGGAGUGACGGUACCGUUAAAGGAAG
rnacentral:rRNA from 1 species